ensembl:lncRNA
CACAUUUACAAACAGAUCAACUGUUUUUAAUAGAAAAUACAUUAAUGAGAUAUUAAAGAGCUGUGUUCUUAUAUAUAACUUUUGAAUUUGUGUACUUUGUGAAACUCAAAGGAGUACACCAUGGUUGUUUUGUUUCUUUUUAGCUUCUCUGAAGCCCAGGCACUCCACAGUUUAUGGGUGGGGGUCAACAAACCAGAGUACAGAAGUAGAGUACUUACAAAAUUCUUAUACGUAGCAACCUUUCAUAAAGUAUACAAAUCCAAAGGAACCCAGUCUCAGGGUAUAGGUUUCAGUUCAUUGUGCAGAAAUGAGAAUUCAUUCUCCCACAUAGUCUCUGUCAUGGACUCUAAAACUAGCUAAUGCACAUCAGUUUCUCCAUGGUAUGUCCAAACUCUGUUCUGUACUCGCCCGGUUACAGGCCCCGAGGAUAAAAAGAUGAAGACAUGUACCCAGAUCCCGACCUACAGUUUUGUAAAAGGUUUUGGGUGCCUUCCCAUCUUGUUGACAGCCCACUCAUUACGAGUCCCACAGCACUCUGAUGCCCACCUCCAUGCCUAAUGACCUCUGAGCUCCACCCCUACCCGAUGUCCAUGUCCAUGUCCAUAUCCAGAUUCACCUGGUAAAGUAGUUAAAUCACGGCCACACCUUCCUGGGAUAUUUGCAGUUUUCAAAAAAGACAUUGCUUGAUGCAAAGGAGUCUGUAAAGAGUAGGCCGUAAAGCCGGGCAUAGUGUUGCUUGCCUGUAAUCCCAGCACUCUGGGAGGCCAAGGCAAGAGGCUUCCGAGUCUGAGGCCAGCCUAGGCAAUUUAGCAAGAAAAUGCCCCCAAAUUUAAAAAAAAAAAAAAAAGGCUGGGGAUAUAGCUUGGUGCAAAGACCCUGGGUUCAAUCCCCAUAACUGGAAAAAAUAGAAAGAGUGGGACUUCCACUGACUCUUUAGGGGAAAGGGUGGUAAUUUGUAACAUGUGGUAGACAGUGUCCCCUCCAAGUGUGAAAGUCCUCCACACUGUAUUUUGGUAAAAUAUGCUUCAUACAACAAGCAUGAAAGCUCCGAGUGUAAGACUCCCUGCCUGAGCAGCCCAGCCAAGGCCAUGCACUCUUGGCAGAGCUCUCCCUGCCAUGAGGAAGGGUGCAGGUUUGGACAGUGGAGGGCUAAGAAAUUCUUCACGGAGCUUUGCCUGGCUUCUUUGUCUCCCAGUUGGCUUUUAAAGCUGAUCGGGCUGCCUCUGCACACCGUCUUACUAUCCUUCUCCCUUCUUACGUUUUAGCCUUCUGCACAGACAGAACGAGAACAUCUUUUCCCAAUUUUAGGCUAUUUAAUGAUGACCAAUAAGGACCCAGGCAGAUGCUAACAUGUAAAACAGCUCAGAUUAAAGUAUUUUAAGUCAAACGUGACAAUAAUAUUAAUCCAAUUCAAAAGUACCUUUGACUCGAGACAUGCUGGUGUGAUGACUGCCAGACUUUCCGUCCUUGGUGUCCUUAGAAGGCGUACACAGAGUCACGGGAGGGAGUGAAACUGCCUUUACUGUGGGAAGGCAGUGCAGCUACAUAACAGACAUCUCGGCCUCCCCAGCCCACCACAGUACUGCUUACAUUGAGGAACAUUUUCUUUCUCGGGAAGGAAAAUUCAGCAAGGUCACUCCCAUCAAAGCAGAAUGAAGACCUGAUAACAGCAAGCUGUGACAAACAGCGUGUCCCGAAGUGUAGACCCUCACCUAUAUCAUAUUUAGUUUUUACAGUGACUUUGGGAAACACCUCUCGUGUUUCUCAUUUUUUCAGAUGAGAACACAGACCCGGAGAGGUUCAGGCAUUUGCCUAAGAUCACAAGUAAAAGGCAAAGCUGGUUGCACAAGAAGUGUUGCUGGACCAAAGGCAAGACUUUCUCUAACCCAAGAUCUAAGUGCACAGAGUAUGAAUGUAAGAGAAAGAAUCUCUCAAGGAAGUAGACAGUGAAAAUAACAUUUGCUUGAUCUGAGUUAUGUGGAGUUUUUAAAAAAUAAGAUUAAAAAUGUAUCUGCACAUAGAAAGUCAUAUACAACACAUUCUCAGUAUUUGAAAAUAAAGGACAUUAAAAUCUAAAUUUUAACCAUAAGGGAAGCAUUUAGUGUUACUUUAGAAAAUUCACUGAUGACAGAAUACUACUAUUCAUGGCCAGCUAUGAAUGCAGAAAAACAGGGCAGUCUGUGUCUGGAAUGGCAUGCAUAAUUUGUAAACCUUUCCAAACACUAAUAAAACAUUAAUCAACUCAGAAUGCAGUGCUCUGUACCCAACAGUGCCUCUUUACUUGCUUCUCUGGGAAGUGCUAAAUUUGUAGGUCAUCAUCAAAGUUUGGGGAUAUGCAAUAUAAAUAACCAUUUUUUUCAAAAUGCACAUUCUGUGGAGAGGAAGUGACAAGGUGGUCAAGAUUGUUUCAAGAUCCAGGUACUGACGGCAUCAGGACAAUAUCCAUAGCACCCAUGUGCCAUAAUACUGCAACAUUUCCAGAGGCUCUGCACACAAGGAAACCAACCCCCGAGUCCCGCAGUGACUGCAGACAAACCUUACAUGUGCUUGGGUACCACUUGGGUCAGCCCAGCAAGAUCUCAUGUGGCCUUAGAGAAGCAAAAAGAACAUUUUCCAGCACUUUUUAUUGAAAACAUAAUCUUGAUAUUGGGAAGGAUUUAUAAUGUUAAAAACUUGAUUUGUGCACUGGGAAUGUAGCUCAUUAUCACUGAGUACUUGCCUAACAUGCAUGAGGCCCUGGGUUCAAUCCCCAGUACUGCAAAAAGAAAAAAAAGAUUUAUAAUUAUAUCAUCUCAAAAGAAAACUGUUCUCUUUAUUCACUAGUGGAGCAAUCUAGAAAAAUCCAUUUGUUUGGGAGCUCACCUUCCUCUGGCCAUAGUAUAGUGUUUGUGCUUAAUGUAGAUGUAACUAAUAACCACAUUAAGAUUUUGGAAUAGAAUACCAUUUAAAUUUCCAAAACAUAAAUAUAUUACUUUAGGGAAGACAAAUAAAAACCACCCCAUGAUUGUCUAGAAGAAAAUUCAGUUGAGAAUAUUGCUCAAAAUCUUUACAAACAGUAUCACUGCUUAUAAAUUGAAGAUAAACCACUACCACACCACGAGCACCCUACAAAACCUUUUCCCUAUAUCUUUGUGUAGUAAUGUAAAGUUUCCAGGGACCAGCUGACCAUCUUAGUGACAAAAGUGCGCUCAACUCCUGGUGGGUCCCACUCAUCCUCCUUUCAACCACAAAAAUCAAUUGCACUGUUAGUUCUUGUCCUGUUAGUUUAACCAGUGGUUGUCUAGUUUCUUUGGUCUUAAAACAGUGGAUUCUUAAAACAGUGGAUUCUCAAGCUUUAGCACGUAUCAGAAUCACCUGGGGUGGGGGUAUUAAAACAGACUGCUGGGGUCAUGCCCAGGGUUUCUGAUUUUAUAGACCUGGAAAUUUGCAUUUUUAACAAGUUUUCAGAUGAGGCCAGUGCUGCUGCUGUGGAAAUCAGUCUUUGAGAACCACUCCCUUUGAAAAAUGUCCAGCUUCUACCUUUCAGAUCAGCCUGACUUAUCAAGCACUAGAGAAAAACUGAACUUGCCCUGGGGCAGACAAUUUGAGAUUGGAUUACCUGUAACAUUCCUGUUCGAUCUUCCCAGUGUCCAGUUUUAUUGUAUAAACGAUGGGUUUUUACAUGCUAGAAGACAAUGAAUGUAUAAGUUCUAUGGAACAGUGAGAUAAGUCUAAGCUUCUCGUCUUUGUAUUUAGAAACAUUGAUUCUAUAAAUGAUUGUAUCAUGUUGACCCUUUGACUUGUACCGAAGGUGAUUUUAAAUUAGGCAAAACUGGAGAAGAUGACUGCUUCUGGUCGUUCUGGUUUUGCUUCCAUUGAAACCAGGUGGUAGAAUAUCCAGGUCUCUGUAAGCAAGCCUGCAAGUGUAUUUUGUGUAUAUUUUAUCUGAGGUGAAAAAUGAAGAUUCUAAAGAGAAAAUAUUUUAAAAGAUACUGUAUUUAUG